rnacentral:rRNA from 1 species
UAGCUUGCUAGAGAUGAUUAGUGGCGGACGGGUGAGUAACAUUUAGGAAUCUGCCUAGUAGUGGGGGAUAGCUCGGGGAAACUCGAAUUAAUACCGCAUACGACCUACGGGUGAAAGGGGGCGCAAGCUCUUGCUAUUAGAUGAGCCUAAAUCAGAUUAGCUAGUUGGUGGGGUAAAGGCCCACCAAGGCGACGAUCUGUAACUGGUCUGAGAGGAUGAUCAGUCACACCGGAACUGAGACACGGUCCGGACUCCUACGGGAGGCAGCAGUGGGGAAUAUUGGACAAUGGGGGCAACCCUGAUCCAGCCAUGCCGCGUGUGUGAAGAAGGCCUUUUGGUUGUAAAGCACUUUAAGCAGGGAGGAGAGGCUAAUGGUUAAUACCCAUUAGAUUAGACGUUACCUGCAGAAUAAGCACCGGCUAACUCUGUGCCAGCAGCCGCGGUAAUACAGAGGGUGCGAGCGUUAAUCGGAAUUACUGGGCGUAAAGCGAGUGUAGGUGGCUCAUUAAGUCACAUGUGAAAUCCCCGGGCUUAACCUGGGAACUGCAUGUGAUACUGGUGGUGCUAGAAUAUGUGAGAGGGAAGUAGAAUUCCAGGUGUAGCGGUGAAAUGCGUAGAGAUCUGGAGGAAUACCGAUGGCGAAGGCAGCUUCCUGGCAUAAUAUUGACACUGAGAUUCGAAAGCGUGGGUAGCAAACAGGAUUAGAUACCCUGGUAGUCCACGCCGUAAACGAUGUCUACUAGCCGUUGGGGUCCUUGAGACUUUAGUGGCGCAGUUAACGCGAUAAGUAGACCGCCUGG